rnacentral:rRNA from 1 species
GGGAGGCAGCAGUGGGGAAUCUUGGACAAUGGGCGCAAGCCUGAUCCAGCCAUGCCGCGUGAGUGAUGAAGGCCCUAGGGUCGUAAAGCUCUUUCAACUGUGAAGAUAAUGACGGUAGCAGUAGAAGAAACCCCGGCUAACUCCGUGCCAGCAGCCGCGGUAAUACGGAGGGGGUUAGCGUUGUUCGGAAUUACUGGGCGUAAAGCGCGCGUAGGCGGAUCAGAAAGUUGGGGGUGAAAUCCCAGGGCUCAACCCUGGAACUGCCUCCAAAACUCCUGGUCUAGAAUUCGAGAGAGGUGAGUGGAACUCCGAGUGUAGAGGUGAAAUUCGUAGAUAUUCGGAAGAACACCAGUGGCGAAGGCGGCUCACUGGCUCGAUAUUGACGCUGAGGUGCGAAAGUGUGGGGAGCAAACAGGAUUAGAUACCCUGGUAGUCCACACCGUAAACGAUGAAUGCCAGUCGUC